rnacentral:sRNA from 1 species
CUAUGAGAUUUCUACUCUCCAACAACGAUGCA